CGAAACACAAAAAAUACCCUAACUCCACAAAACACUCUCAGACCACUCUCACCGAUCCAACACACUCCCCUCACCGAUCUCAGACCACUCUCACCGAUCUCAAGCUACCUCACUUCCACCCUAUCCGAAUCCCCUUCCUCCCUCCGCUCUUCCUCCUCUCCGUUCCCUUCUCAUCGAUCGGUAGCACACACACACUCUCUCUCUCGAACUCUCAAUCUCACUCCAAACACUCUUGCAAGGCCGACUAACAAUAGAGAAAGCAAAGUAAUAAACCUUGCGAUACAUAGAUGGGAAGGAGACAACAUUGAGAGAACUACGACUGAUAAGUUUUUCUAUAUGCUAUUCAAUUUGGUUGGAUUGAUUUUUAUUUAGGUAUUUGGGUAACAAUAGGUUUUCAUUUGAUUUUUUGAAAUUUGGGAAUGGCGAAGGAGAGAGUUCUUCGUUCCCAUUUAUUUUUUCAAUUUCUUGAGUUUUGUUUUGUCAAUUACUGUUUUUUUGGUUAGAAUUUUAUUCCUGUUUGGCAGUUUUUUUUCUUCGUUUGCCACUGAAAUUAAUUUCUGGAUUGUUUUUUUCUUUUUCUUCUGUUUCUUCCUCCAGUUGCAGAAUAUCGUUUCCCUAUGCCAGAUAAUGACAUUGGGACUUCUGCAAUAAGAGAAUUAAAAGGUCUGUGCGGGUCUGUCAGAUUUGUGGGGAAGUAUUUCAUAAUUUUAGGGACCCAAUCACUCAAAGGAUAAAGUUGGUAAGUUCUGUCUUCUGUGAAACUGGGCAAAGCUAAAAAAACUGUGAUGAAUCAUGUUAAAGUUGUAAGGAAAUUUGGUGAUGUUGAUCUCAAAGAUUUGAAAUUAUAGGCAGAGGCACGAAAUUCACUAAAACUUCCGGUCACUGUGCAAGAAAAUCCAGACGCCUCUCAAAAGCCAUUCACCUUCAUUUUCUAUCAUUUUGUCUUGGUACCCACCCAAAUCCCAAGCCUCUCCUUAGUUGUGUUUACUAUCUUUCUUAAUUUGAUGCGUACUUGCAUCUUUGUAAGUCUUUUUUUUUAAUUGUUUUUUUCUUUUAAUUAUAUAAAUUAAGAUUUGUAUCAUAGGACCGUAUUUGAGACAUAUGUAGCCGUAUUAUACAAAUUUUUAAAAGACAUUUGUAAAACAAACACAGUUGGGACAUACCCAACGUGCAGUAUUGUAUUGGAAAGAGAAGUGGUAUUAUAUUUGAAUGGGUGAAUAUCUCACUCUUGAUAUU